GCCCUUUUCCGGUUGAUCCUGCCGGAGGCUAUUGCUAUUGGAAUUCGAUUUAGCCAUGCUAGUCGCACGGGUUAGACCCGUGGCGAAAAGCUCAGUAACACGUGGCCAAACUACCCUGUGGACGAGGACACUCUCGGGAAACUGAGGCUAAUCCUUGAUAGGACUUCCAUCCUGGAAUGGAAGAAGUCUGAAACGUUCAGGCGCCACAGGAUGUGGCUGCGGCCGAUUAGGUAGACGGUGGGGUAACGGCCCACCGUGCCAGUAAUCGGUACGGGUGAUGAAAGUCAGAGCCCGGAGACGGUAUCUGAGACAAGAUACCGGGCCCUACGGGGCGCAGCAGGCGCGAAACCUUUACACUGCACGACAGUGCGAUAGGGGAAUUCCAAGUGCGAGGGCAUACAGUCCUCGCUUUUCUCGACCGUAAGGAGGUCGAAGAAUAAGGGCUGGGCAAGACCGGUGCCAGCCGCCGCGGUAAUACCGGCAGCCCGAGUGAUGGCCAAUAUUAUUGGGCCUAAAGCGUUCGUAGCCGGCCGGACAAGUCUGUUGGGAAGUCCACGUGCUUAACGCGUGGGCGUCCAGCGGAAACUGUCCGGCUUGGGGCCGGAGGACUCGAGGGGUACGUCUGGGGUAGGAGUGAAAUCCCGUAAUCCUAGACGGACCAUCGGUGGCGAAAGCGCCUCGAGAAGACGGACCCGACGGUGAGGGACGAAAGCCAGGGUCUCGAACCGGAUUAGAUACCCGGGUAGUCCUGGCCGUAAACGAUGCUCGCUAGGUGUGGCGCA
rnacentral:rRNA from 1 species